rnacentral:rRNA from 1 species
UCUUCUACCUCUGAUGGCUUUCUUAUAUCCCAGGAAAAGUAUAUCCAGGAUCUUCUUGCUUGUGCUGCUCUUACUGAUGAGCGCAUUGUUGAGACUCCUAUGGAGCUCAAGGUUCACCUCCGUGCUACUGAUGGUGAUCCUCUCCCUGACCCGACGCGUUAUCGUCAUCUUGUUGGCAGUCUUGUCUAUCUAGCUGUCACUCGUCCGGACAUCUCUUAUCCGGUUCAUAUUCUGAGUCAGUUCGUCUCUGCUCCAUCAUCGGUUCACUAUGGUCAUCUCCUUCGUGUUCUUCGAUAUCUUCGGGGCACGAUCUCUCACCGUCUAUUCUUUCCUCGCUCCAGUUCUUUACAGCUUCAGGCCUAUUCGGAUGCUACAUGGGCUAGUGAUCCUUCAGAUCGCCGUUCACUUUCUGCUUACUGUGUUUUUCUUGGUGGUUCUCUCAUUGCCUGGAAGACGAAGAAACAGAUUGCAGUUUCCCGUUCGAGUGUUGAGGCUGAGUUGCGAGCAAUGGCUCUUUUGACGGUAGAGGUGACUUGGUUACGGUGGUUACUUCAGGAUUUUGGUGUUUCUGUCACU